GUAGUUAUUUUGUGUGGACAUCAGCAGAGCAGGCGCCGCCGUAUGAUAUCUGGGCGAGACCGUCCUUAUUGUUCAUCUAGAACAGUGCAGUUUCUGGCAUCAGGUGACUCCUACAGCAGCCUCGGAUGCACGUUCAAGAUGUCCAAUCAAGCAAUCAGUCGAAUUGUACCAGAAGUCUGUGAUGCACUGAUUACAGCUCUCAUGAAGUGACUACAUCAAGUCUUGGCGAGGACCGCAUACGAAGGGGCAUGUCCGGCACAGUCCCCACAGCCUGGGAACCGCAACUGGAGGUGGAUGUAGCUACUUGCAGAGAACGGGGCCCGCCAUCAACAGCCACAGGAGCCGUGCCAGGAGGGGGAAGCAGGAGGCAAGCAGGUGAGGCAGCAACAGGAGCAGAGUCUACCUGGCCCCCAGCGGGGACUGCAGGGGCAGGUGAAGACUCACGGUCAGAGCCAGGGGAGAGGUGGGGGUGUCCAGAGGAAGGUGGGGCAGUCUGAAAGGCAUGACGAACAGGGGGCCGGGGGCCUCUGGCUGGCUGGAGAGGCGGAGGACGGGACCCGCCAUCAGCAGCUGCAGGAGCCGUGCCAGGAGGGGGACAAGGUGCAGGAGGAGCAAGCUGAGCUUCCACAGCAGUGAGGCGCUCCAGUGAGUCAGUACAGCCGAGAUGUUGGCCAUAUCCUUCUGGAGGAUGAGCAAGAGACUAGCAGAAGGAUCAGCAGCAGAAGCAGAACACCACUGUUGAUGGGUUUAGGGGAAGAACGGUGACCGUCUACCACCGCAGAGAUAGAACGGCCGGAAAGAAACUGGAGAUAAAGGAACAGAGAGAGGGAUAGAAUCCGAAAGAUGGCAGUUUAGAAAGCAAAGACUUGUGCCAAACUCUAUCGAAGGCUUUCGAUAUGUCUAGCGCAAAAGAGAAAGUUUCACCGAAACGGCUAAGAGAGGAUGACCAAGAGUCAGUUAAGAGAGCAAGAAGAUCGCCAGUAGAACGCCCCUUGCGGAAACCAUACUGGCGAUCAGAUAGAAGGUUAGAAGUGGAAAGGUGCUUUUGAAUCUUCCGGUUAAGGAUUGAUUCAAAAGCUUUAGAUAGACUGGAAAGUAAAGCUAUAGGGAGGUAGUUUGAGGGAUUGGAACGGUCACCCUUCUUAGGCACAGGCUGUACAAAGGCAUACUUCCAGCAGGAAGGAAAGGUAGAUGUUGAUAGGCAGAGACGAAAGAGUUUGACCAGGCAGGGUGUCAGCACGGAAGCACAGUUUUUAAGGACAAUAGGAGGCACUCCAUCAGGUCCAUAAGCCUUCUGACAGUUGAGGCCAGAGAGGGCAUAGAAAACAUCAUUUGUAAGAAUCUUAAUAACAGGCAUAAAGGAGUCAGAGGGGGAUGAGUAGGAGGAAUAUGCCCUGAAUCGUCCAAGGUGGAGUUCUUACAGAAAGUUUGAGCGAAGAGUUCAGCCUUAGAGACAGAUGAGACGGCAGUGCUGCCGUCAGGGUUAAGGAGAAUAGGGAAAGAGGAAGCAUCACUGGUUCAUGUCUCUCCUCCAACAACACCCUGGGGCCUCCUCGCUGUUCAAAGAAGGUAGGAACGUCCUCUACACUACACUGGACGAAGGGCCUGGUUUGAUAUGCUGGUCACGGAAGGUUUUCAAGGGGAGGUCAUGGUACCGCCGGAAAUGGCCCCGAGGGCCUUCAAAAGUUUUGAGUAUGGGAAAGAAAUGCAGAGAUACGGCGCCGUAGCGGGUCCGCAGCCAACGGCGCCUUAGUGAAGUUAACCCGUGGGCUUCAGCUGUGGGAAAGCCGAGAAGUGGCCGAGAAACGGCAACAUUACACUGCAUUUUGAGACAAAGAAAAGAGCAUGGAACUUAUAUCAGAGUAGUACUCUCAUAACCAUAACCCGUUAAAAAUAUUUACUUAUACUCAAACUCCAUUCUUUUUGGGUGGUGUUUGUUACAAAAUAAACAGUCUCGUGACACGUGGCAUCUAGCCGAGAGUCGCUUGUUUUCUACUUUAGAGAAUUUGACAAGUGAUUACUGUAUUGUUACGCCAGGGGGUGUAUUUGCAUAUGUUAUUUGUGUUAUUUGCGUGGGAGGGGUGCUAGUUUGGGGCACGGAAGGCUGGUGAUGGCCGGGCGUGGGGUGCAUCGCGGCAGUCCGGCCGGCCGCGCCCGGGGCGGAAGAGAGAGAGCCGUGCUGCGAGAGACGAGAGAUGCGCCGCAGCCUGUGUGCCCUGCCCCCUGUGUGCCCGGCCCGUUUUUAUGAGCCCUGUGCGUUGUCUGUGCCCCCUCUGUGUACUGGGAGUUAUUGUGCCUUGUAAACCAGUGUUCUGUACGUGUUGGAGCUGUUCAGUAAAGUAGAAAACCUGCACUGUGAGCCUCCUUGCCCUUGCCCUGCCUUGCCCGCUCGUGGUGUGUUGGCGGCCCUGUGGAGUGACGGCAUGGUGUGUCUUGUUGUUCUGGGGUACUCACGGCCCAUGUAUGGUUGUCUGGGAUUGAGGCACACCGCCUGUCCGUGCUUGGAGUGUGGUGUGCGGGCCGGUGGUGUAACAUUUGGUGUCAUAGGAGUGCGAUUAGUGAACAGUGAAGAGUGAGUUACGCCGUGUCGUUAUGGCGUCUCAGGAUGGCCGCCGUGAGGGUGAGGAGGCGGGCAAGGCCGAGGCCGGUGCGGGGGAGUUUACACCGAGCCAGAUGGACUUGAUCGCUGCCGUGAGGGCCGUUGUGAGGCAGGAAAUGGCGGUGGCUCGUGAGGCACAGGCUCAGAGGGUGGACGAGAGGGCACGCGAGCAGGUCCGCCAUCUUGCCGAGGCUCUCUGGAGCUGUCUCUCGUCUCUGAAAGUGGAAACGCAGCCGUACACGGACCGGGCCUGCGACAGCGUGGGCAGCGAACGGCUGGAGGAGGUGCAGCAGACCCUGGAAGCGAGGUUCAGGACCUGAGGGAGGAGGUGGAGGCGGAGAGGCAGCAGCGAGAGGUGGCAGCACCACACGCGGAGGAACGGGCUCAGUUCUGGCGGGAAGCGCAGGGGCGGCGGUCCAGCUGGGGCCUAUCUGGGGCCCCUGGGAGGGAUCCCUGUGUAGUGCUGACUUGCCUGAUGGGCGAGCCUCCCAUAACUCCCUCUGCCAGGGGGGUACCUCUUUGACCGACUGGUAAAAGAGUGGCUCUCCCGUUACGCUGGUCGCGGGUUCGAUUCCCGGCGCCGGCAAACCUUUCCUUGUCUGGAUUAAUUUGUCGUGUGUUUCGUUACACGCAGAGGCCAUGUGUGAGUGUAGUAAAGAGUAAAAAUUCUGGCAUUUCACCUGGAGCCUGGUAGCGUCGUGGUGGAGCCAGUAGCUGCUGCAGGAGGUUGGGGAGCCAACGGAGCCGCUCUCAUGGGUCCAGCUGGUGCUUGGGUCCGAAUAGUUCUCCAACCUUCAUGCUGUCAUUCCGGUUCAAAAUGGGGCAUUUCUUAUUGUUGAACUUAUCAAGCAGCAGAAAGAUAUUAACACAUAUCUUGCGGCUGGCAGCAACCCUGCCGCCACGAUGUUGCGAUAAUUUUAAAUGUGAAUAUCUUCAGUUUGCCGCAGGGUUGCCAUAUACCCAGAAAAGUCUGGAUUUCUCCAGAAUUUUGUUGCUAUUGCCAGAAUUCCAGAAUUUUGUUGCUAUUGCCAGAAUUCCAGAAUUUUGACGAAUAUAUCCAGAUUUUUCAUGCUUAGCCAGAAAGAAUCCCUUAAAACUUUUAUAUUUCCAGAAUUUACUGUUUAGUGAUUAACUGAUUACGUUCAGACGGUUCAGUAAAUAAUCAGAUUACCAUAUACAUCAUUGAGUUUCAACUACUUCGUGUAUAAAAUAAAUACGGACAGUAGCUGUUGAGUUGAAACUUGAAGUCUUGAACAGAAACAUUACCCGUACGCUUCUCGUCAAGGUCCCGUACGCUUCUCGUCAAGACCGUGCAGCGGUGCCAGAUUGUCCUACUCACCCUCAUAUGUUUGCCGAUUUCAGAACCAAAACCAGUCUCCUCCACCCCAAUAACUGACUUCAUAUAUAGUCAUCGUUAAAAUGGUUAAUUAUCGUUAUUUCUUGGCAAUAGUUCUGGGUCAGAAGCCGGUAAAUACGAUGAUCUGAGGAUGAUAAUCUGGCAACGGUGUCACGACGGCAGUCAGUCGCCACUCACGAGUCACGGCAGUACCGUCUCCAAGGUGCCGCAGGAGGAACUACACAGUAGGGAUUUUGAGUGAAAUAUACAGAAUUACGGUGUGCUUCGAGGGACUGGCAGCGGGAUCCGUGGUGGUAGAGGCUGGUAACAUCGCGGAGGUGUGUUCGAUGAUUGAGAGGAACUACUUCGAUUUUGAAGUCACCCGUUCAAUGACCAGUAAAAUGAACUUUGAUAUGAACAAGUCGAAGGAUCCAGAAGAUAU